UUGCAGUCGCGGACAAAGACCUGGCGUCGGCCAAGGCGCUGUACGAGCGCGCGCUGGAGGAGGGGCUGGUCAUGGACGAGCUGUCACUCAAGCGGCUGGCCGUCUUGCACCGCGACGCAGGAGAAACGCCGCCUUUCCCCGAGCCCCCCGAGUCGUUCAAGUUCUACGCCGACAAACUGAAAGAGAGGACAGUCAACACUCAACCCGUCAACGAAUAAAGACCCAACUUCCCCCCGACCGACCCCAUUCAGAUUUUUUUUUCCAUUUUUUUUUUUUUUAUCCAUACAUGAUGUGAGUGGCGUUCCACUAUCCUCUGCUAUCAAUAGGACUGUGGUAACCGUGUACAGAAGUAUUUAUGCUAAUAAAUGUUCGGAAUCCA